UUUAAAGAACCAUGAUAGAAUAGAAGAUGAUUGCAUAAUGUUAACAUGCUAUGUCUGCAUUGGAUAUUAUUGGUAGUUUAUUUUCAGCAUAGUUUCUUGAUGCCAUGUUAUGCUUUGAUUGACAUGUUAAGUUAUGCCAUGAUUGAGAUAAAAUUCUAUGUUUUGCUAUUACAAUGUUAUAAUCAUGUUCUGAUAUGCCAUGUCAUUGCCAUGUUAGUAGAUGUUAUGAUUUUGUUCAUGCUUAGUUGAUUUUAUCAUGCCAUGUUUAGUAAUUGAUAUGAGAUAGGGUGUUGCAUGCGCUCGGUUCUUGCUUUGUCUGCAGCUUGUUUGGAUGCUAUGUAUUUGGUUGUCUUGCAAGUACAUUCAAUGUACUAACCUGGUGUGUCAUGCCAGUUUUGUAGGUCGUACCCGUAUUGCUCGCUUGAUCCGUCGUGCUAGGUCGUAAUCUUGCCAGUCCUGUGAGUUGUGGAGCCCAGCUAGAGUUGUUAUGCUACCAAAUCAAUACUUACGCCGCCAUUUUUAUCAGACUUUCGCUGUCAUUUAAUAGCCUUAGGGCUAUGCCAGAUAAUUGUAUUCAUCAAUGAUGUAAUCUCAUAUACAUGUAUUUGAUGAAUAUUUUUGUACCUGGAAUGUUGUAUUAUGGACCUGUCGUGCGUCAGGUGUUAUCCUGGGCUGACGUGCGAAGGCCCCCUGCUCCAUGCGGAUCGGGAUGCUACAGGGCAUGGUAUCAGAGCAGCCAGGCUGGCAUAGGUUAUCCUAGUAUUAGAUCACCGCUACCAUUAACCGGUAAUGGCCCUAAGGGAUUUGACCCAUCCCUGCAUACGGCAUGGCCACUGUUAAUCAACAGGUGGCGCAGUCGGGGCCGACACGUCCUCACCCCGCUGUCCCUGCCUAGUUAUCCGUGGCGCGGAUAGCAACCAUAUCCUUUCGGAUCGGCCACACCGCUCACCCUUCGCCAUUAAGGGAAAGGGGCCACACCAUGCGGGCAUGUCUCGCAUAGCUGCCUAUAAAAGCCCCCUUUUCGCUCGAUGUAUCGCUCACCCCUCAGUCAACCAUGUCCCUGUAGAGAAGCCUAGCUAGUAGCACUCCAGCCAUGACUGGCACCUUCAAAGCUCCCAAGUUUCACAGCCGCACCGGUGCCGUCAACCACCCCGGCUUUCCACCCCUUCUUGCUGAGAUGCUCACCAAAGCCUUUGGCUGUAAGGCUAACCCCGAUUACUUGGUGUUCCAAUCAUCACCCGUCCCUCACCUUCAUCACUUCGAUGCAAGAGUGUGCAUCAGCCUAGCAGCGGAUGGCCAGCCGUUGGUUUUUCAGGGUAGAGCUAUGCCUACCUCUGAUUUAGCCAUUCAGGUCGCUGCUGUGGAGGCUAUGCUUCACCUCCGAACCAGAUACCCGCAUAUGGCAGCAAGGCGUGAUUUCUGCUUCUACCCCAUUGUGACAGAGGUAGGAAUGCAGCCUUCUCCCGCUAGCCAAGGAGAUGACCCCGCAAUCGCUCGCCUGGUGCAGUAUAUUACCGCCCAGGGGAUGAUGAUUUCCCAGAUGCUUGCCGAGUUUCGAACUCUGGACAACGAUGCGGUGCGAGUCGUCAAGGAAGCUUACCGUGAGGCUCGUAAAUUCGCAUCUCAAGUCAUUUGUCCAACGCCAUUCGAACCAGUGUUGUCCUCUCAACCCGUGUUGUGGCCUAGACCCAACAUCGUCACCCUCGACAAGGCUAUUUUACAGAUCCACCAGCAGCAUUUGCUCGGAUCAAUUUCAGCCACACCCCCAGCAGCCGAACCCCAACCCAUAGUAGUGUCGGAUGAUGAAGAUGGAGAUUGGCUCAGUCUUCGUCCUCCCGGAGAGCCCCAGCAAGGCUGCAUGACCUCAGUCAAGCAGUAAGAUGAUCAGUCUGUCGGUUCAUCCUUGAUAUGAGGGUAGAACUAUGUAUCCCUAGAUGAGUUGCUUCGUUUAGCGCGUAGCGUGUUCGUGUUCUGUUGUCUGCUGGUACUGUUGUAGUCCGUAUGCUGUGUUCUAUGUAUGUUUUUGUGCUUUUGUUUUUGUGUUGUUUUUGCUUGUCUCUCUGUCAAGCAGAAAUGUUUGACUGGGUUGACACUGUGUUGCUAACAAGAUUUUAAUUAGUAGAUCACAUACACUAAAUUAACCCUGACUCGUCUCGAGUCUAUAAUAAAAUGCGCGCUGGUGUAGGUAUAUGUAUACCAGGAGUACGUAUAUGUAUACCAGGAGUACAUAUACCCACUAGCAUUAAAACACCGUAGAAUGAUUUUGCCUGGUGUGUUUUCCGUUGCAUGUUUAUUGCCUCUGUUUGUUUGCUAGUUCAGAUUUUUCUGCAUACUGCACGCAUACCCGGUUCACCCACGAGUACAUUCGGGCAGUACUCGGGGAAAUGCAAAGUCACAUAUCCCUAUCUAUCUGUGCGUACGCCGUGUGCCGGAUUUCCAACUCUAGAAACCCCGCAGAGGCAUUUCCGCUUGGAAAUUCCUCGUCUCUAAAUCUUUUUCCUGAUUUCAUUUCCGGAGAAACACUGCCAAUUUUAUUUCACUCGAUCCAGUACAUCUACCCCGAUACAGGUUUCACCCUUGAUUCUACCUCGACACCUACGUUUCGUGGAGGAAUCCGCGAAUUUUUUUUCUCGGUGCCCCCAACUCGUUUGAAUUUAACCAAAGGAUUAAAAAUUAACCCCGAGGUUUUUCUCCGGAGUUGUUAUUCUUUCGUUUGUGCUGUAACCCUAGGAAUCUCGAGGACGAGAUUUUAUUUUUAAGGGGGGAAGAGUUGUAACAGCCCCAAAAUUGGGUUAUCAAUUUUUGUGCUGUUAUUCUCUCCUGGCACUCAUUUUCAAAAUUUUCUCCUGAGUUUACUGGAUGACCCUGAGAAAAUUUUGUCAUUUCCAACCUUUCAAAAUCCUGCUCAUGUCUUUUUCAGUGGGCAAGACCUCAUUUGCAUCAGCUCAAUUCCUCUUAAACCCUAAUUCCAUUUUUUUGGAAUUUGGAUAUGCCCUUGUGAUUACAAAGGAGCCACCAUUUUCCUUGUUCUGUUGAUCCUCCCAAUUGAUCCCAGAGAUCAUCCUAUCUUUCUUAACCUUGGAUAUGCAAAAAUAUUGCUAAGUCCAAUGCAAUAUUUUUGAAUUAUGAUUUAUUCCUUUUCUUGCCUUUCUGAGGAAUAAAAUCCAAAGGCAUAUCUAGCCAUCUCCUAAAUUCAUGAGAAUUGGUGGAGUUGAUGCUUAUGCCUAAUCCAAGCUCUGGCAAGUAUAUUGGCCAUAAUUAAAUAAGGAAAAUUGCCUUUUCCUAUUUAAUGCCAAUAUUGCAUUUCUGCCAAUUUCCAAAGGAACUACUAUUUUUAUACCAGAGAAAAUUCCCACAUAAAUUGUGGAGCUUGUCCUUGCUAUAUAAUCACUAGUUCCAUCCUAAUAUCAUGAUUCCACAGUUCAAAAUUUGGCACAUGAUCCAAUGCAAGUUUCUGCCUUCUCUGAAAUUUUGCAAAGGAAGUGCUUUAUUGCUAUGUCCAAUUGAGCUGCAAUUUGGCAGGUUGUUUAGCAAUGUUAAACAACCCAUGGGUACCAAAGAUGAGCUCAAUCCAUUCACCCUAGCUCCUUGUGCAAUAUUUCAAAGUUUCUGACCAGAACACAAGUUUGUGAAGGAAGUACCUUCAUAGUGUUUCCAAAUGGGAUGAAACUUCUCCAUCCUCUCAAGUAUCUCAAAUCAUUAUCCUCCACCUAAAUUCAGUUCAUUUAACUAAACUAUGUGAGCACAGGAGCAAUUCUUGUUUUCUGUCCAAAUUUUCAGUUUGUGAAGCGAGUGUAUUUUAUCUUGCUCCAUUAUGGCUGAUAAUUUUUCCAAGCCUUCUCCUACUCAUAUAACCUAUCUCCACAAGGUUGUGGCUCAUUUAACUUGACCAAUUGCCCUAAGGAUUUUUCUGAAGUUUUUGGACAGAAAUGAUAGCUGUGAAGGAAGUACCAUUUUGGUGAGUCCAUUUGGUAUGAACUUUUUACAGCAUCAUGGUAUGUUCCAAUCAUUAGGCUUUGCCAAGUUAUAGCCCAAUCCAUCACUCCUAGUGAGUGUUUCAUCAUGAUUAAGUUUCGGGGUCAGUUUUGGUGGUUGUACAACAACUAUGGUAAAUAGUUGUCCAUUUUACCUCAAAACUCCCAGGACCGUAGUCCUUUCUACCCCAAGCCUCUCGGACAUCUAGUUUACCAUUUACCCUCUCUAGUUUAAUCUCUAGGAUGUUGCCAAGUUUGCAACAGCAAACUUGUGGAGCUUGUUUCACUCAUCUCCAUUUGUCUCUGCCCGAUCUUUCACCAUGGUAACACUCCACGCUGGAAGGACUACGCGGUAGACAUGAAUUUACAUCAGUUAAAACCCCAAAGCGUGCCAUGCCAGUGGUGACCACGCGUGUAACCAGCCAAAGCGGUGGUCUAGCCACUGUGGUCGUCGGCAUCGCUGCCCCGACCGCCUCUGGCCUCGCCAUUAAUGUCGAGUAGCCUCCCUCGUCGUCGUCUUCCCUCUGGACCGCUGCCCCCCUUCGUUUUCUUCUCCGGAGAGCUGUGCCAACGACUGGAAUAGUGCGCUCCUGUGCAUCGUAGUCUUCCUCGUCGAUGUCUUCUUCCUCCGUUCGUCCGCACGCCUUCCUCGUCUCCAUGACCCUCUGGCGUUCGUCUUGAUCCCCCUCGUCGCCUUCCCGUGCCUCCCCGUGAGCCUUGGCCGCGCCUGCGCCCUCGCCGGCGCACGGACACGUCGCACGCCGCGUGCCACCUCGCCCCCCCCCUUCCCGAGCUCUCCCGCAGCUAUAAGUAGAGCCCUCGAGCUCUUCCGCAGCCACAACGCCUCUCAAAGCCUCCCCACUCGCCUCGGAGCUCCACAUCCCCUCCAUGGCCGAAUGGCCGCCGCCGAUCCCCCUCGACCAUUCUCUCUCUCCGUCCGUCCCCUGCCCAGUCUGAGCCCAUGGAUGGACGCGCCACUCCCCGUCGAUCCUCCCUGGCUCGCCGCCCCUCCGCUUCCCCCACCAGAACCCCAUGCCCACCAGAGCCCGAAGCCCCUCUCCGCCGUGUGCCCUGCUGCUUCUUCUCCCGCGCUCCUCGCCGGCAACCGAGCCCACCAGGAGAUGCGCCUCGUUCUCCUGAGCUCGUGGGUAGGUCGGCCGUCGCGAGAGGUGUCCGGACGCGCCGGCGAUCGCCGUCGGGGCGAUCCCCUCCCGCUGCCUCGCUCGGCCCCGAGCGUGAGGAAGAAGAAGGCCAGGCGGGCCCCGCCCGCGUUGACCCUACCUCUGGGCCCCACCUGUCGGCCAGACGGGGAGCGCCACGUUGGAUAAGUGGACGCGCCCCAGGCGCGAAGCCGUUUUCCCCACGCGAAAGCGUAUUGCUGGAUAAUGCGCUUUCAAUCACCGAAAGCGUAUUCUUCCUCUUCUUCGGGUUAGAAUGCGCUUUCCUUUCUGGAAAGCGUAUUUCUGAGAAAGACGCGAUCUGUUUUUCUGCUAGGGCCCCGUUUGUAAUGAUUUUCUUUACAAAUUGGUCCCUGAUAGUUAAACGGUCAUAUCUUUUUACCCACAACUCCAAAUGAGGUGAAUCCAAAACCCACGUCUUUGUUUCGUCGAGCUCGUUCCGUUGAUGUCAUUUUCAUAAUAUUUUCACACAGUGAAAAUGACCUUUUUGCCCUUGCCCGUAAACAGCCCCCUCCGAGUAGGAACUGUUUCCGGCAAAUCUUUUCGCGAUCAUUUCGCACUUCUUCCCGGAGUAUUUGUCGACCCCAGGCAAGCCAACCUCUUAUCAUGAGCCCCGAACUUGCAUGUUGACUUUGCUUGCACCUUGUGUGUGUGUGUAGUUGCAGUUGUUUUAUAUCGUUUUCAUCGGCAGUUAUUUCUUUAUGCCCAUCUUGCAUGCUUGUGUUUCAUGAUACCUUUGCCAUGUUAAUUAGAAUGUUAUUAUUAAUAAUGCCAUGCCACUACUCUACUUUAUUUGCAUGUCAUCGUUAUAAACUGUUAUGAGGAUUGUAAUGCACCGUUGAUAUACUAUUGUCGUGUCCUUUAUGUUAUAGUUGUGCACUUGAGGAGUUCAAUAUUUUGUUCGUGCAUUUGUAUGCGGCAUGUUGCACUCAUGUUAAAUAUGUUCAUGAUGAUGGAGAAGGAAAUAAAAUGACUUAAUAAUAACAAACCUCCUCCGUCAUCGAUGGGAUCGAGUCAUAGUGCCGCCAAACCGAACUUUUUCAGUGCAGCUACAUUUGCCUUAUGGGAGGCCUUAAUGCGAGCUAUUGUCGUGACCUCUCGCCGGUGCCUCCCACUAGGGAAGGUUAUGGGCGUGCUUACCCUGAUCAGGUAAGCGGACAUAACCUUGUGUGCUUGUUUUUGAGAUUUUUGGUACCAGUCCCCGAGUGGGAGUUGACCAUGACGGUGGUCGGGGUGUCUUUCGUAGACACGGGGCCACCCAGGACCAGCCUGUUGGGGAUUGGAUCAGAGUGGCCGGGAGAGCGUCAUGGCAGUAGGUUGGUUUCGUCGGAAUGCCGUUGGUCCACCCGAAUGGGAUGACGAGGCCAUGGGUUUCGUGGUGUGGGUACAGUGUGCUACCUCUGCAGAGUGUAUAAAGUCUAUCGAUAGCAACAGUUCGUAAUAGGUCCCACUAUCAGGUCUUGGUCGAAAUGGAGGACAAACCGAAAUAAUUAAGUUGGUAAAUAAAUAUGUGAUAACAAGAAUAUGGUAACUUGAACUAUGAGAUAGUCGUGAGGAGUCACGACGAAAUGAUGAGAUAAGUGGUUGUGAUCGCCGUAAGUAUCACGGGCCAAAUAUUGGUCGUGGUUGUGAUCGCCGUAAGGAUCACGGUUGGAGACCAAGUGUUGGUCGUGGUUGUGAUCUCCGUAAGGAUCACGAGUUGUUCUUGAGAAAGACCACUUUGGUGGUGUGUUUGUGAUCCAGAGAUGAUCACAGUUGAUAAGAGAGUCCGAGGGACUUGGUGCACAAGUUUGGUUGCAUUGCUGGAAUAAUAUAUCAUUAUUUGCAUUUAAAGAACCAUGAUAGAACAGAAGAUGAUUGCAUAAUGUUAACAUGCUAUGUCUGCAUUGGAUAUUAUUGGUAGUUUAUUUUCAGCAUAGUUUCUUGAUGCCAUGCUAUGCUUUGAUUGACAUGUUAAGUUAUGCCAUGAUUGAGUAAAAUUCCAUUGCCAUGUUAGUAGAUGUUAUGAUUUUGUUCAUGCUUAGUUGAUUUUUAUCAUGCCAUGUUUAGUAAUUGAUAUGAGAUAGGGUGUUGCAUGCGCUCGGUUCUUGCUUUGUCUGCAGCUUGUUUGGAUGCUAUGUAUUUGGUUGUCUUGCAAGUACAUUCAAUGUACUGACCUGGCGUGUCAUGCCAGUUUUGUAGGUCGUACCCAUAUUGCUCGCUUGAUCCGUC
rnacentral:lncRNA from 1 species